CUGCCCCAUCCCUCAGCUACAAAAAUGGGCACAUGGCCCAGGCUUGGCCAAUUAUUCCUUGGCUUUAAUGACUGGUCCUCAUGGUGGACAGGAGGCUCAAGUUGGUCCAAUCAGAGUUCUUUCAAGACGGUGAAUGCGCUCCCUUUCUUUCCUUGCAGAUCCUGAGCUGGAGCAAGGUAAGUCUGGAACUGCCUACUGCCAGUUUUCCUUUCUUUGGUCCUACCCUCUGGAGGGAGUUAUUUGAGGAAAGGCAGAAUGAGAUCAACACAAAGAGAGAAGCGGAGAUGCAAACUGCAGAGACAGGGUCUUACUCCGUUUUCCAGGUUGGAGCGCAGUCGUGCAAUCAUGGCUCACUGCAGCCUUGAACUCCUAGGCUCAAGCGAUCCUCUUGCCUCAUCCUCUCGAGGAGCUAGGACCACAGGUUAUGGCCACAAGAUCUACACAUUCUCCUUGGUUUUUGGCUGGAGCAGCUCUCACCACCACUUGUGCUAUUGUUUUGGGGCCAGUUGGCCACUGCUGCCUCCACUGUUGCCAUGAAACAGCAGCCUGCUUGUAAGCAUAAAGUCACAGUGCUCAUGGUAGAAUAUUUGUAAAGGUGGCUGCAAUGACCCCUUUCAUUGCCAUGUGCAUGCCGCAUUACAGUAUGCCUACUCUACUCCCAUCAAGAUGUGUAUUUCCCUUCUCCUUGAAUCUGGGCUGGCCUUGUAACUUCUUUGACCAACAGAAUGUGUGGAAAUGACCUUGUGUGACUUCUGAGUCUCAGCUUCAAGACAUCUUGCAGCCUCUUGUCUCCUCAUCUUGGAAUGCAAUGCUGCCAUGUUAGAAAGCCUCCAAGAGGGUGAAUCAUCAUAUGAAGAGAAGCAACCAUGAAGGAUGACCCUAUGAUGAGAUGGUGCCAUCAGGAAGCACCAAGUGCCCAACAUGUCACUGUGGCCAUCUUGGACCAUUCAACCCCAAGUAAGCCACUAGAUGACUGCAGCCAUGUAGGUAACCCCUGGAAAGAUCAACAGAAGAACCACUAAGCUGAGCCCAGUCCAUAUUGCUCGCCUGUAGUAUUAUAAGCAAAUAAAAUGGUUGUUG
rnacentral:lncRNA from 1 species